UGGGAGAAUAUAAAGGUUCAUACAAUGGG
rnacentral:piRNA from 1 species